rnacentral:tmRNA from 1 species
GGGGCUGAUUCUGGAUUCGACGGGAUUUGCGAAACCCAAGGUGCAUGCCGAGGGGCGGUUGGCCUCGUAAAAAGCCGCAAAAAAAUAGUCGCAAACGACGAAACCUACGCUUUAGCAGCUUAAUAACCUGCUUAGAGCCCUCUCUCCCUAGCCUCCGCUCUUAGGACGGGGAUCAAGAGAGGUCAAACCCAAAAGAGAUCGCGCGGAUGCCCUGCCUGGGGUUGAAGCGUUAAAACGAAUCAGGCUAGUCUGGUAGUGGCGUGUCCGUCCGCAGGUGCCAGGCGAAUGUAAAGACUGACUAAGCAUGUAGUACCGAGGAUGUAGGAAUUUCGGACGCGGGUUCAACUCCCCCCAGC